GAAUCCAGGUUUCAAUACAGCCCAGACCUUCUGCCAGUUGUCUUUACAGCAACCGAACCACUGACAUGAACAACAUUUCCGACUAUCAUCGUCCCUUUGAAUUUUUGGUAAGUGCUUCACCAUAAUAUAGUCUUCUUUUAGCUUAGGACCAUACUCGGGCGAAAAGGAUAAUCUUGAAACUUCUAGAAACCUGCAUACCUCCUGGGAAUUGACAAUAUCUAUAUUUCCAAGAAAGUGAUUCAAGUAACCCUGCAUAGCAUUUUUUGCUCGAUCUGACAUUGAAUGUUGCCUUCCGAGGGUUGGCCGAAUUAUUGGCAAAGCAGCACUAGACGGAACAUCUCUGAACAAAAAACCACCUGUUUUUGGCACUUUCCUCAGCACGCAUAGGACUAGCCUCAUCAUCCGGUUCAUCCUCAUCUUGCAUUACAGUUGUAUGAUCU
rnacentral:misc_RNA from 1 species